rnacentral:rRNA from 1 species
UUGUGCUUUAAUUAAGUACUGGCAUGAACGACUGAAUAAGCAAACCCUGUUUCCAGAAAAACUUAAUAACUUGUAUUUUAAGUAAAAAUACUUAAAUCUCAUAAAGGGACGAUAAGACCCUAAAAGCUUGAAUGUUAUAGUUCCCAACUUAGUUUUAUUAUAUAUGUGAUACCUAACAUUUUAACUGGGGUAGUUGUUCUACAAAAUUAAUAUUUUUAUAAACUAAAUCUCGGGUUGCAGGAUCUUUUAUAUAAUGAUUAUUAGCUAAGUUACUUUAGGGAUAACAGUGCAAUAAAUUCAGAGAGACCAUAUCUAUGAAUUUGAUUACAACCUCGAUGUUGAAUUAAAAAAUCUCUAUUGAGCAGUAUCAAUACCAGAAGGUUUGUUCAACCUUUAAU